ensembl:lncRNA
CACAUGCCAUGGUACAAUCACAUGCCAUGGUACAAUCACAUGCCAUGGUACAAUCACAUGCCAUGGUACAAUCACAUACCAUGGUACAAUCACAUGCCAUGGUACAAUCACAUACCAUGGUACAAUCACAUACCAUGGUACAAUCACAUACCAUGGUACAAUCACAUGCCAUGGUACAAUCACAUGCCAUGGUACAAUCACAUGCCAUGGUACAAUCACAUGCCAUGGUACAAUCACAUGCCAUGGUACAAUCACAUACCAUGGUACAAUCACAUACCAUGGUACAAUCACAUACCAUGGUACAAUCACAUGCCAUGGUACAAUCACAUACCAUGGUACAAUCACAUACCAUGGUACAAUCACAUGCCAUGGUACAAUCACAUGCCAUGGUACAAUCACAUACCAUGGUACAAUCACAUACCAUCCAUGUUCCUCCAUCACAUUUCAUCAGCAGUCAUGAACGUUAACAUGACCAUGCAUUUAACCGACCAGUCAAACACCCUGGUCCGUGUCAAUGGAACACAGUCCAGCUUCAGAGCUUCUAUCCCAUCCCAAUGGACCAUUUAGAAAAUACUGAACCAUCACGAAUACGGAACACAUAAACUCCUUAUAUGAAGAAUAUGUCCAUCACUCCCUAUCAAACGGACAAGCUGUUGUUGUUAACACUCUUGAUUACAUUGAGUUCUGUACCUAAUCUUUAUAACUGUGUUGGACUGUCAUUUUGCUAUUUAAUCUCAGUAUCUCAGUGCUGUUCAACUAGUUUCAAAGGGGUCAUGCCAUAUCAAAAAAGAUACGCUAAUGAUCACAACCUUCAUACUCUCGUAGUGUUGUAAGCUCAUGCAUUAAAGGGUUGGGAGAAGAAUAAGCUACUUUCUUAACUAAAUGCAUCAAGAACUCCUUCCUGAGUAAAGGUUACACAAUACAGAAGGGGAGAAGCCAUUAAAAGGUUUUGACAUUCUGAGUAAUGGACACAUAUUUAUGCAACAAACACCUCUUCCAAACCAAGAGGGAGACCUCUAAUGCAGCAAUUCAAUCUCCACUCCCACACGUUCCUCUCUUUUCACUUGGAGGGCUUGAUCCAAUCCCUGCUAUCGCCGCAGGCUUUGGCUAAUGCCCUAGUAUCAUAUUAUUAUGCAGAUUUAGUCAGUUCUUUCCAGUAACCUGCGAGCCAAACUCUGCUUCCCCUUGUAUGGUGUGAAGAGUAUUACUGGCAUGUAUAAAAACCUGAUACCAUCAAUUGAAUCAACCCUCCGGACACUGAUGCAAAGGGCAUUCUACAUAUCAGUGUUUAGAUUUACAUUAAAUAUAACAAAACAGGUCAAAUAUGCAGUUCUUUGUUUCUUCUGCUGGGGUGAAUACCGGUACUUUGCUAGUGACCAAAACCCAGUGUGUUCUAAAAAGUCCAAACUCAAAUGCUCGCAUAUUCAAUGGUUUUUAAAAAAGUGCCCAAGAGAGUUUCAUUACACUGGCUAAAAGCUAAUUACACCAUCCAUGCCCACUAGGUUACCUCAUUAUAUUAUCACAGGGUCUCCCACUAGGUUACCUCAUCAUAUUAUCACAGGGUCGCCCACUAGGUUACCUCAUCAUAUUAUCACAGGGUCUCCCACUAGGCUACCUCAUUAUAUUAUCACAGGGUCUCCCACUAGGUUACCUCAUCAUAUUAUCACAGGGUCGCCCACUAGGUUACCUCAUCAUAUUAUCACAGGGUCUCCCACUAGGUUACCUCAUCAUAUUAUCUAUCUACUACACUUUCCCUAUUGGCUUUUUAACAUUGUGAUCCGUGUUUAAAAACUCCGCUCAGUGGGCUGACAUGAUCAUAACCUUAUCAUAACGACACAGUACUGCACAAUAUAGCCAAUGUGACUACUAUGAAGAGUCCUCUAUACAUGAACUCACUCACACGACACUUGAACAAAGAGCCAACCAUUUAGUUAAAACGACAGUCAUUUCAGAUUCAUUACAACAGACGUUAGCAUUUACAACAUGUCGACUUUGGGUCCUUGAAAAAGCACUAUAUAAGUCCCAUGUAUUGUUAUUAUUAUUAUCGUCAUCAUGUUUGGAUCAAGGAUAGAGAAGAAAAGGAAACCUAAAAAACAAUGACGGUUUUGUUGAGUAUCUUUAAAACCACAGUCAUAACCACCUCUAGUCGUCACAACUCUCAAACAACUACUGUUCCUUUGAUAAGCUAAUACAAGAGAAAAAUAGUCAACAAUUACACUGGAAAAAUAUAUGUAUGUUUCUAUUCAUAUAUAUAUAUAUAUAUAUAUAUAUAUAUAUAGCAUUUGAAAUUCUAUUUAUACAGAAUGUAUAUAUAGUGUACUUAUGGCCAUCUUGGCAAAGAAAUAAAGGCAUCUGAAACAAUCCCAACUCUCGGUCAUGUCAUGUGACGCCCUGGUCAUGUCAUGUGACCAGACAUCGUACAUUGCAGAAUGCAAAGAAUCAGGAAAGAAACUGAGUGGUAGUGGCACUUUGUGCAUCAACAAAUGUCAUCUAGAAUAAGGCUACAAGGGCGUAGAAGUGGAUGUGAUAUAAAUUGUCAAAGAGGUCAUCCUCCUUGAUGGUUUAGUUUUUUCUUGAAGAUGUCCUUUACAUGUCUUAGACCCAGACAUCCAGUCUAGACGGAACAUUCCGGAACAGAGCUCUUUGGAGCUUCUGCUCAACACAUUGAGAGAAAAUAAUGACAAGAGAAAAAUAAUUUAUCAAAAGGCAUUAAAACAUCUAUAGUACAUUAAAGAUGUUUUGGGUAAGCCAGUGUUGGCCGCUACAAAGCGCUUGGAGAGGUAACAUUUGAUCCUUAUAUCUGUCUAUUUUCUUAGUCUUAUUUUUCCUGACAAAAAGCAAAUAAAUCAUCGAUGACACAAAGCCACUCUGACACCACCAGAACAGUGAUUGCUUUCGUUAGUUAUUUUGCUUUUACAACUGCUGAUAUAUCUAGGAAAGCCUAAGUAAUCAAACAAUAUUCUAUUUAUUCUUUCUGAGCAUGGUUUUUAAAAUUGUAUUUAAAUAUUAGAAAUGGAUUUUAACACUACUGAUACUCAGCCAUCACAACACACACAUAAAUAACAAAAUAAAUAUACAAUCAUAUCAAUAUUUAAUAUGAAAUAAAUAAUAAAUACAUACUUUCUUUUUAAGCCGUGGGUAUCUGAAGACACAGAUAAAAGAAAUAGCAUAAAUGAAGGAGAAAACCUUUAUAAAAUUAUCAAAACAUUGUCAUUUAUAAAAUAUUUGCAAUUAAAAAUGUUUACAAAUUAUUUAAAAUAAAAUAAGAUAUAUAAAAUAAUCAAGUGUGGACAGUUGUCUAAAUAGCUUUUUAAAUAUUGAUGUAGAAGACUUCCUAUUUUAAAUCUUUAUGGCCAUGAUCGACCAGCAGGGUUGCAUUUUUUGAUUUACUAAAUAUACAUUUAAUUGUUUUUUUAAAUAAAUAGACCAAAUCAAAUAAAUACACAUAAAAUGACAAUACAUUACAAUUUGCGUAUUCACAAAUGUAAAUAAUUUCUAUAACAAUAAAUAUUGUACCACAAACUAACAGGAAUAGACAAGUGUGCACUCCAUUACCAUCACCGUUCAGUUCAAAGAAAGAAGGCUGCAUCUGUUGCUCUCAGAUCUUCCAGCAGAUAUAUAGAGAAGGUUGUUGAUUUUCAGAAGAGGAAAAAGAAACCAUUGAUUUGUGACUUAAUCUUCGCUUGAAGAGCUGCUUUCCUCUGAAUUGAGACAAGACAUGGAGUCAUGUUGACAUCUUGCUGCAGUAACAACACUAAGCACAUGAACCAUUGCUCAAGAAGACCCCAGAGUUCAGGGAUUCUCCAUUCACUUCUACACAAUAGGAGUGCUGUAGUGCUCAGAAUCACACACUACCCACUCAUACACAAGCCCUCUCACCUUAUCCUGACCCAGAACAACAUUGCUGAAGCCUUCGUGUCUUCUCUGGGACACAAUGUGUACAGUUUUCCAGUGUGUUUUCUUCACCUCAUGUUGGCAGGUCAUACCCUCUGUCUUAUCUGGCACCAUACCACUACUUCCAUCCUUCGUUCUUUCUUUCUUUCUUCUCCAAAUUGUUGCUGAACUAAACCUUGAAUUACAGUAUGAAUUGGGACAGUCAAACAGAUACCUCCAAAACAGAGAUACCUCCAAAACAGAGAUACCUCCAAAACAGAGAUACCU